UCUUUGGUCUUUCCUUCUCCUUUCUCGGCAGUGGCUGUGGUCAGAGCCCAGGUGCAGCAGGAGGCGUCGGCAGAGACCACCGAGGGCACCGGCAUCAGCAUCAACUGCUCACACCCCAACAUACAGACCGGCGACUCCAUCCUCUGGUACCGCCAGCUCCCGGGCCGAGGCCCCGCAUUCCUCGUGAGCACUCUUAAGGGCUCCAAAGAGCUGCCGGACCCGCCGGGGCGGCUGUCGGUGGCGGCAGACCGCCGGUCCAGCGCCCUGUGGCUCGCCCGGCCCCGGCGCGGGGACGCGGCGGUGUAUUACUGCGCCCUGAGAGACACGGGGAGAGGAGCCGGGGCUGCGGCCGAGCACGAACCGCCGCGGGCGGGGCCGGGCCUUCCCUGCCAACCGUGUGAGCAAAGAGCCCUGGGUGCAAGUGGCAGAGGAGCCCUGCUCCAGGCAGCAGACAUCAGAAGACAUGAAAAUCAAGUAG